ACAAGGCUACAUUUGGCAACGUAAUCAGUUGCUAAAUGUUAUGGUGGUAUAUAAAUGAUGGUAGAAUUUAGAAAACUGAAAGGGGACAAGGUAGACAAGAGUGGUCAAGAAGGCUCCCUAGAGGAGAAGGAACUUGAUUUGGGUAUAGAAGAAGGGGCUGGGGACUGGGUGCAGUGGCUCACACCUAUUAUCCCAGCACUUUGGGAGGCUGAGGCUGGGAGAUCA